UACGUAGGGAGCAAGCGUUGUCCGGAAUCAUUGGGCGUAAAGCGCGUGUAGGCGGUUACAUAAGUCUGUUGUGAAAGUCGGAGGCUCAACCUUCGAAAGCCGAUGGAUACUGUGUGACUUGAGUACGAAGAGGAGAGUGGAAUUCCUGGUGUAGCGGUGAAAUGCGCAGAUAUCAGGAGGAACACCAACGGCGAAAGGCAGCUCCUCUGGGAGCGUUACUGA
rnacentral:rRNA from 1 species